UUCCAGACUCCUACGGGAGGCAGCAGUGAGGAAUAUUGGUCAAUGGGCGGAAGCCUGAACCAGCCAAGUCGCGUGAGGGAAGAAGGCCCUGCGGGUCGCAGACCUCUUUGGACGGGGAGCAAGGCCGCCGACGUGUCGGCGGAAGGAGAGUACCCGUAGAACAAGCAUCGGCUAACUCCGUGCCAGCAGCCGCGGUAAUACGGAGGAUGCGAGCGUUAUCCGGAUUUACUGGGUGUAAAGGGAGCGUAGACGGCAGAGCAAGUCUGAAGUGAAAGCCCGCGGCCCAACUGCGGGACUGCUUUGGAAACUGCCCGGCUAGAGUGCUGGAGAGGUAAGCGGAAUUCCUAGUGUAGCGGUGAAAUGCGUAGAUAUUAGGAGGAACACCAGUGGCGAAGGCGGCUUACUGGACAGUAACUGACGUUGAGGCUCGAAAGCGUGGGGAGCAAACAGGAUUAGAUACCCGUGUAC
rnacentral:rRNA from 1 species